rnacentral:sRNA from 1 species
AUAACUGCCUCUGUGAACAUUCCUCUUUUUGGCAAGGCUCAUUGGAAACAGGAAGAGCGAGUACAGCAAGUACGCAAGAAAUUGGAAGAAGCACUGAUGGCAGACAUCUUGUCGCGAGCUGCUGAUACAGAAGAGAUGGAUAUUGAAAUGGACAGUGGAGAUGAAGCCUAAGAAUAUGAUCAGGUAACUUUCGACCGACUUUCCCCAAGAGAAAAUUCCUAGAAAUUGAACAAAAAUGUUU